rnacentral:snRNA from 1 species
GGAUGUGAGGGCUAUCUGGCUGCGCCAUCGGUCACCCCACUGAUCGCCAGGGCUGAUUCGGCUGACCUGGCCGGCUGGGCAGCUUCCCCGUCCUCCCCUGACGCUCCACAUGGUCCCGAAGCUGCGCGCUCGGUGGAGGAGACUCCCACCCGGCGGAGGAGGACUCCCACCUGACAGAGGAGGACCGUUCCUUGGUCAGGGGUGUACGAGUAGCUACGCUCCCCUGCUAGAACCUCCAAGCAAGCUCGCAACAACCAGUUGGUAAAACACUUUCAAAGUAAGUUAUAUUCUUAUACUACAAAGUUUU